rnacentral:rRNA from 1 species
ACUUAAAUUGAAGAGUUUGAUCAUGGCUCAGAUUGAACGCUGGCGGCAGGCCUAACACAUGCAAGUCGAGCGGUAGCACAGAGAGCUUGCUCUCGGGUGACGAGCGGCGGACGGGUGAGUAAUGUCUGGGAAACUGCCUGAUGGAGGGGGGUAACUACUGGAAACGGUAGCUAAUACCGCAUAACGUCGCAAGACCAAAGUGGGGGACCUUCGGGCCUCAUGCCAUCAGAUGUGCCCAGAUGGGAUUAGCUA